UACGUAGGGUGCGAGCGUUGUCCGGAAUUAUUGGGCGUAAAGAGCUCGUAGGCGGCUUGUCGCGUCGGAUGUGAAAGCCCGGGGCUUAACUCCGGGUCUGCAUUCGAUACGGGCAGGCUAGAGUUCGGUAGGGGAGAUCGGAAUUCCUGGUGUAGCGGUGAAAUGCGCAGAUAUCAGGAGGAACACCGGUGGCGAAGGCGGAUCUCUGGGCAUUACCUGACGCUGAGGAGCGAAAGUGUGGGGAGCGAACAGG
rnacentral:rRNA from 1 species